UGACCCGUGGUGUAACUGGCAGCACGGCUGAUUUUGGUUCAGUCAGUUCAGGUUCGAAUCCUGGCGGGUCAA
rnacentral:tRNA from 1 species